GUGAAACCCCGUCUCUACUAAAAAUACGAAAAUUAGCUGGGUGUGGUGGUGGAUGCCUGUAAUCCCAGCUACUUGGGAGGCUGAGACAGGAGAAUCCCUUGAGUCUGGGAGGUGGAGGCUGUAGGGAGCUGAGAUCUCACCACUGCCCUCCAGCCUGGGGAACAGAGCAAGACUCCAUCUCAAAAAAAGAAGAACUGAUGGUUUUAAAAAGAGGAGUUCCCCUGCACAAACUCUCUUUUUGCCUGCUGCCAUCCAUGUAAGAUGUGACUUGCUCUUCCUUGCCUUCCACCAUGAUUGUGAGGCCUCCCCAGCCAUGUGGAACUGCAAGUCCAUUAACCCUCUUUUUCUUCCCAGUCUCAGGUAUGUCUUUAUCAGCAGCACGAAAAUGGACUAAUGCAGCCUCCACAUCCAUCUUAUAUUCACUCAUCCUUCAUAACCCUUGGCCACCUGCCUGGUAUCCUCUCUCUGUAUUAUUCCUAGGGCUGCUUCCCUCUAUAACCUGUAUUUGUGAUUUCCACAACAUCCAUCCAGAUACCCAAGUAUGGUACCCUCUUGUGGCUCCCACCCUUCCCCUUCCUGGCCUGCUAUUAAUAUUAUCAUCAUGACCAGGAAUCCCACUACUAAAUGGGAUCUAUGAUGUUAUGGGCUUAAUGUUUCUGCCCCACGCCCACCCACAAAAUGCUUACAUUGAAGCACUAACACAAUGAAGCCUAAUAUAAUGUGAUAGUAUUUGGAGAUGGAAUCUUUGGGUGGUAAUUAGAUUUAGAUAAGGUCAAAAGAGUGGGGCCCUCAUGAUGGAAUUAAUGCUUUUGUAAGAAUAGAAAGAAAGAGAUUCCUUGCUUUCUUUACAUACUCCCUCCCAGGAAAGGCCAUGUGAGGAAAAAGCAAGAGGGCAGCCACUGCAAGUCAAGAAGCAGCCCAUCACAAAUAAGUGAAUCUAGAGGCACCCUGAUGUAGAAUUUCCUAGCCUGCAGAACUGUGAGAAACAAAUUUUUGUUGUUUAAGCCACCAAUAUAGGUUAUUUCAUUAUCAACCCAAGGUAAGACACUGAUAUAGCCUGGAUAUUUGUCCCCUUCAAAUCUCACCUGGAAAUGUGAUCCCCAAUGUUGGAAGUGGGGCCUAGUGGGAGGUUAUCUGGGUCAUGGAGGUGGAUCCCUCAUGAAUGGCAUAGUAUCCUUCCAACAGUAAUAAGUUCACAUGAGACCUGGUUGCUAAAAAGAGACUGGUGCCUCCCUCCUGCCUUGCUGGCUCCCUUUUUGCCUUCUGCAAUGAUUGGAAGCUUCCUGAGGCCCUCACCAGAAGUGGAGACUAGCGCUAAGCUUCCUGUACAGCCUGCAGAACUAUAAGCUGUAAUAAACCUUGUUUCUUUAUAAACUACCCAGCCUUAGGUAUUUCUUUAUAGUAAUGCAAAUGGCCUAACAGACAUAGGGCUCCAUCCUAGUUCAAUAAUAUCCUCCACUCUUUGUAGAAGUCUCUAUCCUGCACCCUUCCUCAGAGUCCAAGACCUGUGUGUCCACCUAGCCACUUGAUAUAGCUACUUACUUAUUCUCUAAAACAUCUCAUAUUUUUAACAUGGACAAAACACAUUCCUGAUGUCCUGAGUGAAAAACAAUUCUACUAUCUACUUGGCUCUCCCAGUAGAUGGAGCUUCUAUGCUUCCAGCUACUAAACUCAAAAAGCCUUGAGUCACCCCUUCUUAUCUCUCAGUCCCAAUACCAGAAAAUCAGAGCCGACCUACAAUCCAAAAUUCAACCAUUUCUGCCACACUGUGGCCACUACUCUGGCCCACAUCAUCUACACUCACCUGGACUAUUGCAGUAGUCUCCUCUUUCCUCUUUGGUAUUGCUACCAACUCCCUUAAACCCACAGUCUGUUGUCUGUGCUCAGCCACAGGAGCCUCAUGAGGCCUGGGGAAGAUCACCUCCCUCUUCUGCUCCAAAUCUUCAUUGCUGCCAUCAUCUCCAGAACAAAGACAUCUGAGACAGCCAUUUAGUUUCUAACUCCUGUACCUCUGCUCUCUGUUCCCAUGAGAAGGAAAUGAGACUUGAGGUUCUCUUAACCAGCUCAGCCUCACCUCCAAGCAGCUCCAAACACCUGUACUUAUCUCUGGGACAAACUUCCACAUUCAUCCUAUUAUUUGCCAGCAACAGGCACCACCUCAUAUAAUACUCACCCUGGACAUAUUUUUGUUCAGAGUCCCUAGGCUCAAGGCCUGGAAAAGCGGUAAGUAAAGAAUCCCAGGUCACCACAGUCCCAAUCCUAGAGAUCCCAUUGCUGGAAUCAAUGAGCUUCUGGAUUUCCUCCACUUACCCUUGUAGGGUCUUCAAGUGCUUCUUACGGACCUGUAAGUACUAGUGGCAAUCUGUGGGAGGAAACAUGUUCUGAGAGGCAGGUGACCAAAGUGUGGCUCCAUGGACUUCUGGUUCCAAUGUGGAACACCAGAGCCAGGUGUCCAGGGAUGACUGCUUUGUAUCUGGGUGUCAGUCCUUGGUGCUGACUUUUACCAGCUUUGUGACCUCGUAAAAAGACUAGGUCCCUCCAUGCCUGCUAUCAUCACUGCCCUUCCAGCGCGUUCCUCUGAACAGCUUUUGUGAAACUUUUAGAAGCGUGACUGGGGCCGUGCCCCUCUUCUGUCCUACGCGCUGUGGCCCUCAGUGUGCUGGUGAAACUCAGUGGGGCCAAUGCAGCGCAGCUCCAAGCUGUUGCCCGCGCAGCCCCCUGACCGUGUCGCUCUCCCGCUCCCUGCCACACUACCAGAAACGAGAUCCAGCACCAGCGCCUCACUGUGCCGGACAGUGCGGUCCGGGCUGCAGAAAACCCUUCACGCGUCCCUCAGUUUCGGGUGGGGAGGGCAGAGGAGGCCGGGAGGACGCAGCGCUCACCUGGGUCCAGAUCCGGCACCCGCGGAUGGAACUGACACAAGCCAAAGUGCCCG
rnacentral:lncRNA from 10 species